GACUAGGGGCCCUUCUCGGGUUACCGAAUUCAGAUAAACUCCGAAUGCCAUGUACUUAUACUCGGGAGUCAGACUGCGAGUGAUAAGAUCCGUAGUCGAAAGGGAAACAGCCCAGACCACCAGUUAAGGUCCCCAAAUAUAUGUUAAGUGGAAAAGGAUGUGGGGUUGCUUAGACAACCAGGAUGUUGGCUUAGAAGCAGCCACCAUUGAAAGAGUGCGUAAUAGCUCACUGGUCGAGUGACCCCGCGCCGAAAAUGUACCGGGGCUAAACAUAUUACCGAAACUGUGGAUGAACCUCUUUAGAGGUUCGUGGUAGGAGAGCGUUCUAAGGGCGGUGAAGUCAGACCGGAAGGACUGGUGGAGCGCUUAGAAGUGAGAAUGCCGGUAUGAGUAGCGAAAGAAGGGUGAGAAUCCCUUCCACCGAAUAUCUAAGGUUUCCUGAGGAAGGCUCGUCCGCUCAGGGUUAGUCGGGACCUAAGCCGAGGCCGAUAGGCGUAGGCGAUGGACAACAGGUAGAGAUUCCUGUACCAGUGCUAAUUGUUUAACCGAUGGGGUGACACAGAAGGAUAGGGAAUCGCACGAAUGGAAAUGUGCGUCCAAGCAGUGAGUGUGAGAAGUAGGCAAAUCCGCUUCUCGCGAAGCAUGAGCUGUGAUGGGGAAGGAAAUUAAGUACGGAAGUUCCUGAUUUCACGCUGUCAAGAAAAGCCUCUAGGAAGAGUAGUACUGCCCGUACCGCAAACCGACACAGGUAGAUGAGGAGAGAAUCCUAAGGUGAGCGAGAGAACUCUCGUUAAGGAACUCGGCAAAAUGACCCCGUAACUUCGGGAGAAGGGGUGCUCUAUUAGGGUGCAAGCCCGAGAGAGCCGCAGUGAAUAGGCCCAGGCGACUGUUUAGCAAAAACACAGGUCUCUGCAAAACCGUAAGGUGACGUAUAGGGGCUGACGCCUGCCCGGUGCUGGAAGGUUAAGAGGAGUGCUUAGCUUCGGCGAAGGUACGAAUUGAAGCCCCAGUAAACGGCGGCCGUAACUAUAACGGUCCUAAGGUAGCGAAAUUCCUUGUCGGGUAAGUUCCGACCCGCACGAAAGGCGCAACGAUCUGGGCACUGUCUCAACGAGAGACUCGGUGAAAUUAUAGUACCUGUGAAGAUGCAGGUUACCCGCGACAGGACGGAAAGACCCCGUGGAGCUUUACUGCAACCUGAUAUGGAAUGUUUGUACCGCUUGUACAGGAUAGGUAGGAGCCGAAGAGACGUGUGCGCUAGCAUACGAGGAGGCAAUGGUGGGAUACUACCCUGGCUGUAUGACCAUUCUAACCCGCCACGCUUAGCGCGUGGGGAGACAGUGUCAGGUGGGCAGUUUGACUGGGGCGGUCGCCUCCUAAAGAGUAACGGAGGCGCCCAAAGGUUCCCUCAGAAUGGAUGGAAAUCAUUCGCAGAGUGUAAAGGCACAAGGGAGCUUGACUGCGAGACUGACAAGUCGAGCAGGGACGAAAGUCGGGCUUAGUGAUCCGGUGGUUCCGCAUGGAAGGGCCAUCGCUCAACGGAUAAAAGCUACCCCGGGGAUAACAGGCUUAUCUCCCCCAAGAGUCCACAUCGACGGGGAGGUUUGGCACCUCGAUGUCGGCUCGUCGCAUCCUGGGGCUGUAGUCGGUCCCAAGGGUUGGGCUGUUCGCCCAUUAAAGCGGCACGCGAGCUGGGUUCAGAACGUCGUGAGACAGUUCGGUCCCUAUCCGUCGCGGGCGCAGGAAAUUUGAGAGGAGCUGUCCUUAGUACGAGAGGACCGGGAUGGACACACCGCUGGUGUACCAGUUGUUCCGCCAGGAGCAUCGCUGGGUAGCUAUGUGUGGCAGGGAUAAACGCUGAAAGCAUCUAAGCGUGAAGCCCCCCUCAAGAUGAGAUUUCCCAUUUCUUCGGAAAGUAAGAUCCCUGAAAGAUGAUCAGGUAGAUAGGUUUGGAGUGGAAGUGUAGCGAUACAUGGAGCGGACAAAUACUAAUCGAUCGAGGACUUAACCAAAA
rnacentral:rRNA from 1 species